UUUAUCUCAAGUUCUGCUUCUGGGAGAACCAUACACGAGACAGAAUCUGUGCCCACGUUGAAGAGAGGGAGAUUUGCACGGAAUCAGGGGGACUCUCGGAAACGCCUGAGGAGCUGCGGGGCCAUGUCGUGACUCAGGGGAGUAACGGGCAUUCUGUCACCCUCCCUGCUUGCUGAGGUGUGGGAAACCGGAAUACCAGGGCUGUUGAGGAAGCCGAGGCUGAGAAUUGUCUUCAACGCACGGACAUGCUUAAAGUGCUAUAUUCUAAGCGACGUCUUUAAAGUUCCCAAAUCCUUUCCAAAACAGAUGGUAAACUUCUAGAAACCACAUCCCAAAAGGUAAUACCGCUUAUAAAAAUAAGUAGUUAUGAUGGAAACCAACUUGACAAUAAAUUUCAUAUAUUGAAAAAAAA